GAAAAGCACCCCGGAAGGGGAGUGAAAUAGAACCUGAAACCGUGUGCUUACAAGUAGUCAGAGCCCGUUAAUGGGUGAUGGCGUGCCUUUUGUAGAAUGAACCGGCGAGUUACGAUUUGAUGCAAGGUUAAGCAGUAAAUGUGGAGCCGUAGCGAAAGCGAGUCUGAAUAGGGCGUUUAGUAUUUGGUCGUAGACCCGAAACCAGGUGAUCUACCCUUGGUCAGGUUGAAGUUCAGGUAACACUGAAUGGAGGACCGAACCGACUUACGUUGAAAAGUGAGCGGAUGAACUGAGGGUAGCGGAGAAAUUCCAAUCGAACCUGGAGAUAGCUGGUUCUCUCCGAAAUAGCUUUAGGGCUAGCCUCAAGUGAUGAUUAUUGGAGGUAGAGCACUGUUUGGACGAGGGGCCCCUCUCGGGUUACCGAAUUCAGACAAACUCCGAAUGCCAAUUAAUUUAACUUGGGAGUCAGAACAUGGGUGAUAAGGUCCGUGUUCGAAAGGGAAACAGCCCAGACCACCAGCUAAGGUCCCAAAAUAUAUGUUAAGUGGAAAAGGAUGUGGCGUUGCCCAGACAACUAGGAUGUUGGCUUAGAAGCAGCCAUCAUUUAAAGAGUGCGUAAUAGCUCACUAGUCGAGUGACACUGCGCCGAAAAUGUACCGGGGCUAAACAUAUUACCGAAGCUGUGGAUUGUCCUUUGGACAAUGGUAGGAGAGCGUUCUAAGGGCGUUGAAGCAUGAUCGUAAGGACAUGUGGAGCGCUUAGAAGUGAGAAUGCCGGUGUGAGUAGCGAAAGACGGGUGAGAAUCCCGUCCACCGAUUGACUAAGGUUUCCAGAGGAAGGCUCGUCCGCUCUGGGUUAGUCGGGUCCUAAGCUGAGGCCGACAGGCGUAGGCGAUGGAUAACAGGUUGAUAUUCCUGUACCACCUAUA
rnacentral:rRNA from 1 species